GUAUAGCAGGCAACCUCAGUGAGGAGAGGUGCCCUUAAAGGUUGUAGAGAGAGAUUAAGAUUAAAAGGUUAUGCACUUAGUGCAGGCUGUAAGGCUGGAGGCUCCAGGGGAAGGGGUGAGCCUGCUGGAAAAGCUCAGGCCUCACCAAACAAGGCAAAGAGACCAACAGGUUCCGGUCUGACAACAUUCCAGAGUCUGAUCGGACAACAUUCCUAACUAGAGCCCUCCCCAAAUCUAGAAGAGUGGUGGUAACUUUCCAGUACCUGACUAAAGGCCAAUGAGAGACCCCCCACGUACCCUAGGUAAGCCAAUCCCCGUGCCACUGUAUUCCUUUGCUAUCCCUCCCCCUGCCUUCUUUAAAAAUUAGCUGCCUGCCCUGCUGAAUGUGACUUCCCCGGCCUGUGAUAGCCAGACCUGGGAACAUCACCUGGGAAUUGUGCUCAAAUAAACUGGCCCUUCGUUGCCUCUUGUCACCUGCUUAAUUCGGCUAAAGUUUAUCUUACAUUUGGUGCCGAAACCCGGGAAGGAGUGUGAGCGUGGGGCCCUAACCGGCCACUGGUGGCCCUGCCCCCUCCUUCCCCAACCCAGGACCUCGGCCUGCUCUCCGCUGCGUGGACUAUUUUCUGAUCCCAGAGGAUGUUAGUCUCCCACCUCUCUCAGCUCGCUACCCCCACCCCUCUCCACCACCAUCUUUAAGUUCUUUGUCCUCCCCCAUGUUGCUGCCAUCUUAAAAUCCUACAUUCUCAACCAUGCCAUCGUCCUACUCCUCUCCUCUUCUGGUGGCUGCACCACCCCCUCCCCCUCCUUCCACCUUCACUGCCCUCUUCCCCCACCCGAACAUGCUCCUCCUGCUCUCCAGUUCCGGAAGCCACAGACCAGAAGCUAAAAAGAAGGAAAGCAAUUAAAUAUCAGUAACUCAAAUCUUUA